GAAUCAACCAACAUUUUACACUUUGCUUUAACAUUCUUAUUGAUAUGAAACCGACAAAGAAGGUUUCUUGCUUUAGGAAACACAAUAUUGAUGGCAUUCAUCAAAGCAAGAUCUCUAUCACAAACAAUGACUUCAGGCCCCACAUGUGAUGUCAAAAGUGACCCUCUAAAUUUUUGUAGUGCCCAUAUGAAGUUCUUUUCCUUCUCGCUAGAUAAGAAUGCAAAACCAGCAGAAAAGGACAAACCUG
rnacentral:lncRNA from 1 species